rnacentral:ncRNA from 1 species
ACAGUACAAACUGAGCAGGCCGGGAUACAGAGGUGUCCUGCGAGCCGGGUCACAUGCGUGACAGUGGAUGGAACAUAUCUGCAUCCACGGGACAGU